UACGGAGGGUGCAAGCGUUAUCCGGAUUCACUGGGUUUAAAGGGUGCGUAGGAGGGCAGGUAAGUCAGUGGUGAAAUCUCCGAGCUUAACUUGGAAACUGCCGUUGAUACUAUCUGUCUUGAAUAUUGUGGAGGUGAGCGGAAUAUGUCAUGUAGCGGUGAAAUGCUUAGAUAUGACAUAGAACACCAAUUGCGAAGGCAGCUCGCUACACAUAUAUUGACUCUGAGGCACGAAAGCGUGGGGAGCAAACAGG
rnacentral:rRNA from 1 species